AGACCUGAAUAAAAGGCUGGCUCUGGCCAGUGGGGUGUGUUUGUUUUUCUCCUGCCCGGGCGAGCAAACUGGGAGGAAAAGUGGCUGCACAAAGCGAGGAGCAGGGACCCAAUCCUUGGAAUGUGCUCGUUCCUGGGGAAGCAGAGCCAGGCUGAGGUGCCUAACAAGAUCCAGCCCGCUGGGAAUGGAUGUGGAGCCAGCCAGAGCUGCAGGACCCUCCAUCCGUGGAAAAAUUGGGGAAAUCCCAGGAAAGAAGGUGAAUCUUCAUGGGAAAGAUUGAAAAGAGUGGAUGUCAGGCUGGAAAACCACAUUUCCCUGUCGCUGUGUCCCUGUUACAGCUCUCCCAUCUACAGGCAGGAAUUCCUGAGAAGUGGAUAUUUCACUGCUGAUUCCUGAGGAUCUCCUGGAUCUGGCUGAGACCUGGAAUUGCUGAAGGCUGAGUGGUGGUGGAGUCACUGGGGGGCUUUGCUCUGAACUCACCGGCUCUGUUUAGAAAAAAAUUCCCAUUUAAAAAAAAAAAACCCAAAAAACAAAAAAACCCUAACAAACAAAAUCCACCAAAAAUAAAAAUAAAAAAAACACAAAAAACACAAAAAACUCAAACAAAAGCCAAACAAAAAAACACAUACGAAAACCAACCAAAUAAAAAAAAUCUAACAGGGACCAGGUGCCUGGAGCUGGGUGUCUCACACUAAUGGUUCCAUUUAAUCUUCAUAAAACCCUUCUCAGUGCAGAACCCUGUGCAAAUGAGUUCCUGAGGAUCCCACACUGAUGGGUUAGGGAGGGGAGCAGGUGAGGCCAUUCCCAUUUCUGGGCUGGCUGCAGCCUGGGACAGCAAAUAAAGCAAUUGCUGCCUGGCAGGAAAUUGAGGAAAAAUCCAAAAAUGGGAGCUGCACCAGGCUUGGAGCUGGUUUGAUUCCUGCCUGCUCCCCAUGGGUUUUGCUCCAUAUUUUGGGUGUGUUUGCCUCGAUGGCAGCAGCCAAAUCUUGCUCCAUCCCUGCCAUGGGAUGGGGAGAGCAGGACAAGCCCCACUGGGAAUGUGGGGUGAGCAAAGCUCAGCAGCUGAGGGUGCUCACUUUGGAGCUCUGAGGAUUUGGAUUGGGGGGGGGGGGGGGGGGGGGGGGGGGGGGGGGGGGGUUUUUUUUUUUUUUUUUUAUUGUGGAAAACGAGAGAUUUGAGCAGAGGACAGAGGGGCUGUGAAAUACCUUGGUAGAUACAACCAACGUGCAUUAAGCUGCUGCAAUAUUCCACGUAUCCUUGAUUUUCUCAGCCUGAUCCAGGUGCAGCUCUCGUUUCCUGUUGGAGCUGAGGCUCUGGAGCUGAGCUGAGUCCCAGGAGGGCAGCAAGGAGAGCAAACCCUCCCCCAAAGCUGCCUGGAGAGCAGGAGCAGCCAGGCUGCCAUUCCCAGGGGAGCUGAGGGAAGAAAGCAUCCACCUUGCUCCUUCUCACUCUGUUCUCUCACCCAUCAUCUCCCUUUCCCUCUUUCCCUUUUUUUCUCCAUGGAGAUGACCAAAUUCGAGACUUUCUUUCAUCCCUCCAAUAAGACCUGAAUCAUUUUUAUGAUUUUUAUUUCUAAUUAAUCCGUUUCCCUCUGCCCAGUGGAGCCUGUGGGGUGACCCCAAACCGUGUAAAAGGACCCUCCAGAUCAGCUAAAAAAUGGGAUUUUCCUUGAUUAAAUGCUGCAAGUCCAUCUGCCACUGCAGAAAAUGCUUCCCUGCCCUGGCAGUGAAUGAAUUCUGUCCUUGGAAUGAAUGAGUGGGAAUCCACAGCUCUGGAGCAGUGCUGCAGAUAUUCAACCCCAUUGUUUCAUGCAGCACUGGGAAGCUCUUGGAUGCUCCAGUGCCAGGCACAGCGUGAGCACAAACUGCAAGCAGGCAGGAGCAGCUCCAUGGAAUUCUGCUCCUGGCAGAGAGGAAAUCAGCCAGAUCC
rnacentral:lncRNA from 12 species